rnacentral:rRNA from 1 species
ACGGGAGGCAGCAGUGGGGAAUAUUGCACAAUGGGGGAAACCCUGAUGCAGCGACGCCGCGUGAACGAAGAAGUAUUUCGGUAUGUAAAGUUCUAUCAGCAGGGAAGAAAAUGACGGUACCUGACUAAGAAGCCCCGGCUAACUACGUGCCAGCAGCCGCGGUAAUACGUAGGGGGCAAGCGUUAUCCGGAUUUACUGGGUGUAAAGGGAGCGUAGACGGCAUUGCAAGUCUGAAGUGAAACUCCGGGGCUCAACCCCGGAACUGCUUUGGAAACUGCAGAGCUUGAGUACCGGAGGGGUAAGCGGAAUUCCUAGUGUAGCGGUGAAAUGCGUAGAUAUUAGGAGGAACACCAGUGGCGAAGGCGGCUUACUGGACGGUAACUGACACUGAGGCACGAAAGUGUGGGGAGCAAACAGGAUUAGAUACCCUGGUA